rnacentral:rRNA from 1 species
AAACUAACAAGGAUUCCCCUAGUAUCGGCGAGUGAAGCGGGAAGAGCUCAAAUUUGAAAUCUAGUAGCCUUCGGCUGCUCGAGUUGUAAUCUAGAGAAGUGUUUUCCGUGCCGGCCCAUGUACAAGUCCCUUGGAACAGGGCGUCAUAGAGGGUGAGAAUCCCGUCCUUGACAUGGACCCCCGGUGCUCUGUGAUACACUUUCAACGAGUCGAGUUGUUUGGGAAUGCAGCUCAAAAUGGGUGGUGAAUUCCAUCUAAAGCUAAAUAUUGGCGAGAGACCGAUAGCGAACAAGUACCGUGAGGGAAAGAUGAAAAGCACUUUGGAAAGAGAGUUAAACAGUACGUGAAAUUGUUGAAAGGGAAACGAUUGAAGUCAGUCAUGCUCUUUGGUAUUUAUAUCAUUGAGUGGGGUCAACAUCAGUUUUGAGCGAUGGAUAAAGGCACUAGGAAGGUAGCACUCUCGGGUGAACUUAUAGCCUAGCGUCAUAUACAUUGUUUGGGACUGAGGAACGCAGCAUGCCUUUAAUGGCCGGGAUUCGUCCACGUACAUGCUUAGGAUGUUGACAUAAUGGCUUUAAACGAC